rnacentral:rRNA from 1 species
UACGAAGGGUGCUAGCGUUGUUCGGAAUCACUGGGCGUAAAGCGCGCGUAGGCGGCGACUCAAGUCAGAGGUGAAAGCCCGUGGCUCAACCACGGAAUUGCCUUUGAAACUGUGUUGCUAGAGUGUCGGAGGGGAUAGCGGAAUUCCUAAUGUAGAGGUGAAAUUCGUAGAUAUUAGGAGGAACACCGGUGGCGAAGGCGGCUAUCUGGACGACAACUGACGCUGAGGCGCGAAAGCGUGGGGAGCGAACAGG